rnacentral:rRNA from 1 species
UACGUAGGGUGCAAGCGUUGUCCGGAAUUAUUGGGCGUAAAGAGCUCGUAGGCGGUUUGUUGCGUCGGCUGUGAAAUCCCGAGGCUCAACCUCGGGUCUGCAGUCGAUACGAGCAAACUAGAGUGUUGCAGGGGAGACUGGAAUUCCUGGUGUAGCGGUGAAAUGCGCAGAUAUCAGGAGGAACACCGGUGGCGAAGGCGGGUCUCUGGGCCGAUACUGACGCUGAGGAGCGAAAAGCGUGGGAGCGAACAGG